rnacentral:rRNA from 1 species
UGGGGAAUAUUGGACAAUGGAUGGAAAUCUGAUCCAGCCAUGCCGCGUGCAGGAAGACGGCCCUAUGGGUUGUAAACUGCUUUUGUAUGGGAGCAAUAAGAUCUACGUGUAGAUUGAUGAGAGUACCAUACGAAUAAGCACCGGCUAACUCCGUGCCAGCAGCCGCGGUAAUACGGAGGGUGCAAGCGUUAUCCGGAUUUAUUGGGUUUAAAGGGUGCGUAGGCGGUUUGAUAAGUCAGCGGUGAAAUAUUUCAGCUUAACUGGAAGGGUGCCGUUGAUACUGUCGAGCUUGAAUUUAGUUGCUGUGGGUGGAAUGUGUGGUGUAGCGGUGAAAUGCAUAGAUAUCACACAGAAUAUCGAUUGCGAAGGCAGCUCACAAAGCUAAUAUUGACGCUGAUGCACGAAAGUGUGGGGAUCAAACAGGAUUAGAUACCCUGGUAGUCCACACUGUAAACGAUGAUAACUCGCUGUCGGCGAUACACAGUCGGUGGCCAAGCGAAAGCGAUAAGUUAUCCACCUGGGGAGUACGACCGCAAGGUUG